GGGGCCUUUGCUUUUUGCUCUCCAGAGUUUGGGAUCCGUCUCUACUGUUCCGCAUUCUACACCUCGGGAGCCUCCGGUGACUCUGUCACAGCCUCUGUUAACCUGUGAUCUACAGGGAGACGCACAGCAAAAUGCCAGGACGUCCUGGAACAUGGGAAAGGAGAAGAUUGUGACAUCACUGGACCCAGCAAUUAGAAGAUGUUUCUCUCCUGCCUGAGCCUUGCCCACAGGAACCGUGUGACAUAUCCUUGGGCUCAGCACCCAGAUUCUACCCGCAAAAAACCUGACAUAUCACUAGGCCCAUCAGCAAAGUUAUUUUGCCUGGCCCUGCCCUUAAAAGACAUUGUGACAUAUUGCAGUGCCCAGAACCAAUGUAAUUUUUUUUUUUUUUGAGACGGAGUCUCGCUCUGCCGCCC